UACGUAGGGGGCAAGCGUUGUCCGGAAUUAUUGGGCGUAAAGCGCGCGCAGGCGGCUAGUUAAGUCUGGUGUUUAAACUCGGGGCUCAACCCCGAGACGCAUCGGAAACUGGGUAGCUGGAGUGCAGAAGAGGAGAGUGGAAUUCCACGUGUAGCGGUGAAAUGCGUAGAUAUGUGGAGGAACACCAGUGGCGAAGGCGACUCUCUGGUCUGUAACUGACGCUGAGGCGCGAAAGCGUGGGGAGCAAACAGG
rnacentral:rRNA from 1 species